CAUCCAAGCUCCUGUGGUCAUUUACCUGCUAUGUGCUAGCCUUUUUAUUUUAACAGGGAAUAGUCUGUCACCAGACUGGUACGUGCUGGCAAAGUUGAUUGAAACCAAGUGCCCUGCAGUGACUGUAUGACUAGCGAGUCAUACAGUGAAGGCUUAGGCUGGAGUUGCAAUUAGAGAAGGAAAUUCAUUGAGCUAAGGCUUGGCUUUGUUGCUUUGAUUGGGAUUCUAAUUUCUUAGGUUAACCUAGUGUAAUUAGCAACAAAUUCACCUUUGAUUUAAACCUGCUGAUUCACACAUUGCAGGUUGGAUGGCAGUUAGGUGACUGACUUAGGUGGACAUGCCUUUGUUCUCAGAAACAUUAGAGGGGAAUCUCUCCUGAAUCUAGGACUUUUGUUUUGGAGACCAUACAGGUCUGGUAAAUGUUGAUAUAGUCUUCCAAAACUACGACUGUUGGUUUUAUUAGCAGUCAAUGUCUCCUCUUUUCUUUCUCACUGUGUCACGGCAGAACUGCAAGGGGCUGGAAUCCUUUUAGCAUUUUAACACUUCCUUGACAAACAUCCUGCUGUUCUAUCGCUGCCCUCCUGAAGUGUAAGAGCUCAUUUUUGAGGGGAGAAGAACAUCUCCAAACUCAAGGAACUAUUUGCACUUGUGUUGGGUGACAUCUGCUUUACUGCAAGCAUCACUGAAUGCAGAUCUACAGCCUUUUAACCCUAUUCUCUAGGGCAACAAUUUUGUGCUCUAGUUCUUCCAGGCUCUCAUUUGUCACCUUUUUUCAAGGAGUAUAAGAUGUAGCUUCUCUCUUAAGAAAAGCUUUGGUUGCUUACCCUACACGCAAAGAUAUGUGCGGAAAUCCCCACAGGGUAACAAAAACCUUCCCCAGGGAAAACAUCCUUGAACUAGUUUAACUGAAAGCUCCCAAUUUCACAGUGCCUUUGGCUGGAAAAUUUAAAUGUUCAAAGGGCUGUGGCAUGAUUAAUGAUUUUCUUGUCUCAGCCUCUGAUGCAAGAGUGCAGACUCUCCUCCUCCCCUCACUGCUUGCAUAGAUUGGGUUUAUAGGAGUGACUGAAAACAGACUAGGGUGUUGGAGGAAGAAACAGAGACCUAUGGUGGAAAACAGAGAAAGAAGGGCUUCUUGGGGCUUUUCCAUUCUUUGCCCCUGCAGCUCUGUGCAGAUCAGUCAUCUGUGUCCCUUCCAGGCAGUGGACCUGAGAAGAUGGUCUUGAUUUUUGCACCAGAUAUAGUUCUGGUUUGGAACUGGGCUCUGACUCGAGGACAUCACGCUCCUUUCGGAGAACUCUUGCUGGACACGUGGUCACUACUUCUCUCAGCUCUUCUCUCUGGGAGAAUUUUGCUCUAGGUUCAGUUCACUGCACUCACAGGUUUUUGCACCACCUGAGUCUGUUUUUUUAAGUUAGUUUCUAUGAGGUUUCAUUCCAGUUGUUUAUAAUGACUGUCUUCUCCAGACCCUGCACUGCAGCAUUUCCAAGCUCAGUAUGAAAACAGCGUAGACUCGGUGAGACUGCAUUUCUGAUGUAUCAUCGUGCUGCAAAUCCGUGAUCUUUGCAGCUAACCCAAAAGCUGGGGAAGAGGGAGCAAUAUCCUCUCUUCCUGCAGCUAAAGAUCCUCAAACAAACACCACAACCAUUUUAACUGAGUUGAACGCCUCCAGGGGAGAUAGUGAUGUUUUGUCACACACAGAAAUAGGGACAUGGCAAAGCUGAGGUACCAUUUCCAUUGCUUUAAUUGCUGAGUGGACAGCUCAGGUCGGGUGCAUAGAAUUAUCUCCUACCCGCAGCUUCACUGACCUCAGGAUAUCCAACCCUGUCUUUCCCUGCUGCCUUCCCUCAUUGUUUUAGAAUGGUGAAAGCAGGUGAGGUCUGAGGGCUGGGCCCCUGAGAGCUGUAAGGCAGCAGGCACAUAUGCAGAGAAGUGUCUAGCUUAUCCCUCUUCUGCUUUUUGGUGGGUUAGGAAAGAGUUAAAUGACAACAGAGGGAGAGGCUGUGCUAUUGUUCAGGCAUCCCUGGGUCCAGGGUGGCUGAUCUCUAUUCCCGGAUCUGCCUCUGGCUUCCUGCAUGACCUUGGACCGGUCACUUACCUUUUCUUUUCCUUAGCUCCCAGAUUAUGACAUGGAAAUCAUUCUCUUCCUGUGGUGCCUCGUUCCCUGCGGGUUUCAGGGUGGCUGAGAUUCUCUGGUGGGCGAUGAUGGGAGGAAGAGAACACGUUUCCACUGGAGAAAUAUUUACACAGAGGGUGGCAAUUUUUGGACGUGUUCUUGUUCACUCAGAUACAGCGCGGGCUGUGCAUAUGGUGAUAUUUGGUUUUUUUAGUAGGCAAACCUGUGGUGAAAGUCAAAUUCCAUUUGUCGUUGAUGCAGCUGCCCGAGAGCAAUGCCAGCUGCAGUGAUCCUUUUCUUCACUAGAUGGUGCUUUUGAUCAAAGAUUUGAAUAACGGCAGUUGCUUUCUGCACAGAAUUUCCUAAUUUUUCUUCCCCAGUCUCCAUUCCUUCCCCUCUUCUUUCUGUGCUUCAACACUACGGGGGACACUCAGUAAUGCUGGAUAUUGAGCAAGGCUAAUCUGGUGGUAAUACCGGCUCCAAGCCACCCGCACCCACCAGCCAGCUUGUCUUCUGGGCUUUGGUUUUUGAAGCGUGUAUCAGUGCUGCUGGGCUGUGGCAGAGAAUUGAAUUCUUUCCGUGUUUUCUAUUCCCAUAAGGAAAAGGCUUCAAAGAGCAGGUCCCCUCCCCCUCUCUGCUGGUGAAGGGCAUUUAGGGAAGCUGGGAAAAAAAAUCCAGCUCUGACAGAUGCAUUUAUUUAACAAACCACUGCCUUUCCCUACCUUAGCAGAAGAUUGGUUGUGGUUUUUUUUUUUUAAAGGGAAUUGCUGCUUUUAUAUCCGUCUUUGUAUUCAGGAGAUUGUUACCUAGCCAAGGUCAUUGCUGCUGUAUGCCAGUAUCAAGCAGAGAGCCAGCCUCCUCUUCCUUGAAGGAGCACUGAUCUCGCUGGAUCCUAGUGCCUCCUCCAGCAGGACUAGGUUGUAUCUGUCUGACAACACACCUACAGUGACUCUCUUAAUUAAGUCUCCCCGCACUGCUGUGAGGUAUGUAAUUACAGUGAGACCUGACUUAAGCAACCACUCGAGGGACUAACAAAAAAAAAUUCUUUACCAGAACAGGGAGGAACAGAAUUCUACUGAAUACAUUUUUGGGGAAGUUUGUUAAACAAAGGGGGUUAAUUAUUCUGGUUUCUUCUCAGUGUAUCCCAGUAUUAGGAUGAUGCCUUUAAUAUAAUGUGUGUUAACAUAAUCAGGGGUUUUUUUCUUUUUAGAAGGAUACUUGAGAUCUUUUGUCUUUUAACAGAGAUUGCUAUAAAAAAAGUGUCAAUUAGUGCAAAUGGUGGCAAUGGUCUUGCGAAAUGAACUAUUGUUUAUCAGAAGCUGAGUAGUUGUCCCUCCCUGCCCAACCCCUGUCCAGUGGUAAAAAUAUUUAGUCAAAGGGCAACAUUCUGGAUUCCUGCUCCAGGGUAUUAUAACCACUCAUUUUCAUGACUCUACAUAGCAGCUCUGCCUAGUAGGUACUAGGAAUUGUGUAUCUUGAACUAAAGUACCACAGUAGUUGCAAUACUAAUGGUGUCUCCCAGAGAGCUCUGGCAGUUCCAGGCGGACUGAUUUUCGAUGUCGCUGCCCCAGCCUGCUGUCAGAGAUCUCUAUCCAGUACUCGAGGUGGCAGGCCGGACCGUGUGUCACCAUUCUCAGCCCAGUGUAUUAAUAUAAACUGCCAACUAUUUCAGGUUGCAUUACUACUCCAUGCGCUGAACUGUGGUGGCCAUGGAGAAGAUAUGCCACCCAUUUUGCAGCCUCUGCUUCAACAGUAAUGAUCUCCAGCUGAAGGACAGGAAGAAGCUGGAAAUAGUAAUAUCAUGAAUAGUCCCACUAUGGGCUGGCAGCCCUCCCCUCGAGUCCCACCUUCAGUGGCAUUCCGAAUACAUGCUGUCUGCAAAGAGUUGAACCAGCAACACUGCAGGAGCUGUAAGUUGCAGCAGCGACGCAGGAGUGAGCCAAGGAACCAGGACUCUUUUCAACCUAUGGGACAUGAAUCCUUGGAAUUCUGUGCACUACUAUGAAGAAGUCUGCAAAAGAUCACAAAGACAAGGAAGCUUAUUGUCAGUAGAUUUAAAUGAGCUAUACAGGGGUCCACAAUUCCAAGGGAAAACUUCAGGAGUUGAUUACAAAGUUCUAAGUCAGCUUGAUCCAUUGAAAUCCACCUAUCUUUGCACUCCUUGGACUAACAAGUGUCCUUCUGGCAGGAAGGUUCUGUGCAGCUGAACUAACCCUUUGUCAUUGAGUAUUGUGGAUUCAAGAAGCUGCUCUGUCCCGUAUACUAGGACUGAGCCAUGUGGAAACCUCUGAUCGGGCACCUAUCAGGUGCUCUUACCAAUGGAUUGGGCUGAAAACAAAAACUUUUAGAGAAGCUGGUGUAGCUGGCAUUAUACAACCAAUUCAGUUUUGUAGCAAGGUCAAUACUUUGUCCCUGAGAUAAAUGAGCAGGUACACAGUGUUCUCCCUACAGACUGUGAGGUGUCUGAAGUAUUUCAGAUGAACUUUAUUAGGAACUAAAGGCAAUCAGCUUCAGGCAGAAUCGUGCAACAGAUUCUACCUGUAUCUCCAGAGGUUUAAGCCCAGCAGUCAGACAUACAACCUGAUGUGCUUUAAAGGCUUUGGAUUAAGUAAUGGUAGUACUACUGGGAUGAAAGUUCAUAAUGCUUAGAUGAAAAAAGGCUUGCGCUAGGAAAUAAAAAUCACUGAAGAUUUAAAAAUAGAGUAAUUUUAAAAUUUUUAAAGUGUUCUGUUUAGGAUUUCAAAAAUUUUUCUGUGUGGGUUUUGGUAAGCAGAGUUGUUUUGCAAGUUCUUUCCUGUUAGAUUGUGGGAGAAUUUGUCUUUUUUAGGGUGCCUGAAAAGCAGGAGAGGUACUGAGGAAUCUUCAUGUGGCUCCUGAAUAGCCCCCUUCAAAUCCACUUUUGGAGCCAGGGUCUUCAGCCUCUUGUAAGAUCAAACUUAAGACAGCUUCACUUGUAAUCCAAGUUUAUGUGAGGAAUCCUAGCUAAAUCCUUGAUGUUGCUUAUACAUCUGAUCGAAGGGAAAGGUUCGUGUUUACCUGAGAACUCUAUUGGACAUUUUAACAUGUAUUAUGUGGAAAAGCAUGCCGAAGUGAUAAAGUAACAAUUGAUUCAUGGCUAUCUAGCAGAGUCUAGAAAUGCCACCUUGGGAUGACAUGGAUCGAAGAUACAGUUACUUUGCUUUUCCAUGUGAAGAAUGCUGCUUCUUCCCAGCUGAGCUAUUGUGUAACGUAGAUGACUCUCUGGAGGAAGAGUUUGCUGCACAUUUGCACUAUGUUUUAGCUACUAUCAACAUUUAUAUUCCAUUGGCAUUUGAGGGUAAGCACUAAUUAGCAUAAUCAUCAAUG